rnacentral:lncRNA from 1 species
GUGUGGGUGACAAGCGUUUUUAUGGCACAUUGGAGCUACUCCUAGGCAGACUAUAAAUAGCAACCUGCCCCUCCCUGGGCCUCUCCCAGCCCCCGUGGAACUGGAUGACGACUGCUGUGGAGCUCCAUGAACUUCGCAGUGUCCUUGCCCUUUGCUGUGACCACACAACUUUCUGAGCAGAGCAGGAACGGGUAUGGAGAACCCCAGACACCAGACACAGCAGCCUCUGAAAUCGAAGCUCAUUCUGCUGUACAGAUCAUCACACGGACACCACAGUACCAGCUCCCCUCCCUGAGCCAGUCAGGUUGACGGUGGAACCCUCUCUUUCACCAUUUGGUUAAAUGCCAACCUGGGCCACUGGUUCCCCUAGACCCAGGGUUCUGCUCUUUCCACGAGUGGCGGCCAGAGGUGAGAGGAAGAUUCCGAGCAGGGCACCAGGGCUGGCCGUUGCCUUGGCAACUUGUCAUGAAGUCUCAGUGUGGACAGCUGAGUGGUGCUCUGCAGAGUGAAUACUGUUUCCUGUGUGUAUUCAUUCAACCCAUGCAACAGUGCUAUUAAACUAGGCGUCUGACCUGCCCACAGGCGGAGAAUGGAGGCUGGUGGUGUGUGUGCCUAACACUGUCACCGCACCGUGGGCAAGGCCUGCUCUUAGGGUCAUCCGCUCCAGCCUGUGUUUAUCACUGCACAGAGCAGCACAGAGAAAUGUCACAGAUGAAGCGUGUCAGGGAAGACAGCAAGCUUCUGCCCAGCUGGGAGGAAAACAAGAGAGGAGUGGAGGUUGGCUGGGGAUGAAAAUAGAUUUGCUUCUGAACCACACAGGGGAAAUCGGGGAAGGCAAGAAAGAAAAAGAGAAGAGGAGCAAAGGUAGGAUGUGUUUCAGAUCUAUAAGAAAGUGUCCAGACCAGGUCAGCUCGUGGAUUCCUUAGAAAGCUGAGAAGCCUGCUCACCAGGCAAGGGCCUCCUGCACAUGGGGCCCGGGCCACCUCACCUUUGUGACCUCUCCUGUGUUGAAGAGGGAUCAGUGAAACCAGAUUCCUCUGCCCGCCUCUCGCGGGGUGUACUCGCACUCCCAGCUCUGUCCCCUCAAGGGCAGAUAACCAGCUCUCAGGAGGUGACUCACACGGUGGUAUAAAUUACCUGUGUUGACAUAGCUAGUGUGUUACCUCGGAGCAGAUUGUGCCUUCGAGAGACGGGCAGCCUUUGUCCAAGUCAAUGACACUCUGCUCUCGGGCCCCCGGGGCCGGAGGAGCAGCGGUGUGUGCUGGUGGGGGUGGCCCCUGAGACAGCCCACUGCCUCUGGGCACUGGCUCCACCUGCCCUCCUAGAUGUGUUUGCUGGGGUCUUCUCUCCGCCCAGUGCAACUCCUUUGAGACUAGUACUGUCCACCUUCCUACCUCUGCUCAGGGACUGGAUAGGGCUUGGGCUAUAGCAGAUACUACUUUUUAAAAUGCUUGUUAACUGACUACUUGAUGAAUAGUGUCUCUGUCAAGUCCCCUACGGCACAGAACUGAUAACCUGAGGAAGAGAAGGGGAGACCAGAAAGCCUGAAAUAUAAAAAUAAAGAACACUUUACGUGAGUACAUGCUGUUGAAAAAUUAAAUGUGGGUAAGCCAAAGUAAAAUUUAAAAAGCACAUGCGAUUCUCUCCUCAGGUUCAAUUAUUGUUAACAUAGUGCUGUAAACUCAUCCGGAUUUAUAUCUGUG